GCCCAUGUGGCUCAGUGGCAGAGCACUCCCUUGGUAAGGGAGAGGUCGGCAGUUCGAUCCUGCCCAUGGGCACCA
rnacentral:tRNA from 15 species